UUGGUAGAUCUUUCCUUGGUUAUCCAACGUAACUGUGAAAGAGCUAGUGAGGUUGUACGAAAAUGCCUCUUUAAGGACAUAUGUCUUCUUUUUCAAAAUUUUCAUGAUUAUUAUAAUAUCGUGGCGUGGUUUAUCAGGUACCUGUCAGUGAUCACUGUAUGACGUAUCUGGGUUUUGCAUUAAGCUUUCUGUUUGACUAAAUUUUUCUACUCAUGGGGUGGCGUCUGAAGGAGUUAUGAAACCGAUGAACAUACUGGCAAGCAAAGUGGGCAAUGGCUUCAACUAGUCUUUUUCAAGAGUGCGGAGUUAAAAGGCAGUUUCAAGAUUUGUUCAUUUCUGGCCGAACCAGCGUGCAAGGGCUGUUUAGGGAUUACUGCUGAAUGAUAUACAUAACGUCAACGAAACUGCAAAUCUUCUGAAAAGGCAAAGAACAAAUGCCAAAUUCUUGUCGACAAUCAACGUGACAGAUAACUGAAUUUGACGACUUGAAUUCCAUGUAGAAAAUUCACGCCUUCUAGCAACAUGCAGAAAAGUUUGACAGCAAAUCAAAAAAUUUUGCCGACUACCGAGAUCAUAUGUAAAACAAAAUAUUAACAAUAUUUGCAGAAAAGGUGCAAGUGCAACAUAAUGCAAACAAACGCUCACUGAUAUUAUUUUAUUAAACGAUAUCGGCUGUUUGACUACCACUAGCCUCUCUGUAGUCAAACAGCUAAAAGCUCGUUUGAUAAAAUUAUUAUAUCAGUAAAGUUUGAUCACAUUAUAAGUAUGUGUAUUGUUGCAUGUUUUAGAUAUUCACUGAUAUUAAAAAGAACUCUGGGCAUGUUUAUGUUAAUUCGAUUAAAAAAACACAUUAUUUACAUCCAUUUAACCGUCGAUGUGUAUCGACGAACUUGUACUUGAUAAUUAUAUGAUAGAAUGUUUUGAUGCUUUUGUACAUCGAUUAAACGUCUUCAAAGAGAGUUUUGAUGAAACCUGAAAUUCGGUGAGAAUCUCAUUUUUGACUUACGCUGGACAGUUGGUGCAAACGCAAUAAAGUUUUCCUUUUCGAACACUAGUGGCUUCAUGAUAUUUACUAAUAAAGUAGAGUAUACAAAUCAGAGAAUUCUAGAUACGAAAAAGAAAAUAGAUGAUAACCACAAUGUUAAUAAAUAGCUACGACAUGGGGAAUUUAUGGCAAUAAAAUGAAGUAGAUUUAUAAAACUAUUAUUUAAACAAUAUACUAUAUAAUUCAUAUUA